CCCUUAGAUGUUCUGGGCUGCACGCGCGCUACACUGAAGCGUUCAGCGAGUAUUCACCUUGCCCGGGAGGGUUGGGUAAUCUUUUGAAAACGCUUCGUGAUGGGGAUAGAUUAUUGCAAUUAUUAAUCUUCAACGAGGAAUUCCUAGUAAGCGCGAGUCAUCAGCUCGUGCUGAUUACGUCCCUGCCCUUUGUACACACCGCCCGUCGCUCCUACCGAUUGAAUGAUCCGAUGAAUAUCAUGGAUUGAGGAUUAUAGCAGGUUCGCCUGUCUUGAUCUUCGAGAAGUGAAGUAAAUCUUAUCAUUUAGAGGAAGGAGAAGUCGUAACA
rnacentral:rRNA from 1 species